rnacentral:ncRNA from 1 species
UUUUUUUAUUUAAAUUUUUUUAAAAUUUAAAAUAAAUAAUUUAUAAAAUUUAAUUAUUAUAAUUUUAUAUUUAUUUAAAAUAAUAUAUUUGAUUAUGGUAUAUAAUUUUAUUGUAUAAAUAUUUUACAUGAAAAUUUAUGUAAGAAAUAAUUUUAUUUUAAUAAUAAAAAUAUAAAUUUUAUUUUCAGUAAAUGAAUUUAAUAAAAUAAAUAAAUUUAGAUUUAGUAAUUUAUAUAAAAUUUUGGUGAAGAUUUGUGCCAGCAACUGCGGUUAGACAAACAAAAUAAAUAAAAUUUUUAUGUUAAUAAUUAAUAAAAAAAUUAAUUAAUAAAAAUUUAAUUUAUUAAGUGAAAUUUUUAAAUUAAAAAUAUUUAAUUUUUAAAAUUUAUGAAAUUAAAAAAAUUUAUUUAAAAACUAGGAUUAGAUACCCUAUUAUUAAAAAAUAAUAAAAUAAUAAUAGAAUAUUAUUAGUUAUAUUCUUUAAACUUAAAAAAUUUGGCGGUAUUUUAAUUUAUUCAGGGGAACUUGUUCUAUAAGCGUUGAUCCUCGUUAAAAUUAACUUAAUUUAAUUAAAUUUAUAUAUCGCUGUUAUUGAAUUUGUUUAGUAAUUUUUAAUUUUCAAUUAAUAUUAUAAUAUUUAAUGUCAAGUCAAGGUGUAGUUUAUAGUUAAGUAGAAAUGAGUUACAAUAAAAAUUUAUUUAAAUGGAUAAAUGAUUUUAUAAAAUUUUUAAGGUGGACUUGUUAGUAAAUUAAUUUAUUAAAUUUAAUUGAUUAUAACUCUAAAAUAUGCACAUAUUGCCCGUCACUCUCAUUCUAAAAUGAGAUAAGUCGUAACAAAGUAAAAAUAUUGGAAAAUGUUUUUAGAUUA